rnacentral:lncRNA from 1 species
CAGACGAGGACUGUGCAAGAGGCCUGUGAAGGUCAAGCUACGUGGCUUUCAUUUUAAACCUGGCGGUGAUAAUGCUGAGGGUUAGGGUUUGCUGAAAGUGUCAAAGGGGAUGACCACCUGGGGGAACCCAGGUCACUGCCUGGCUCAGAGAGGGCGACCAAGUCUGGAUUCCUGCUUCUCCCUCCUAAGACAAGACACACAUGAAGGACCCCGGUCACCUUCUUCAUGGCCCAGGAAACCCAAGAACUGACGCAGGCAGCCUCUCAGUCCUGCAGGCGCCUCACGAAACCCGGAUGUUCACCCCACCCUCACGGCCAGCACCACCUCAAGGGCCACCACCAGCUUUGCCUUGUUUCUAAACUUCUUCCCUUUCGUACCGGGGAUUGAACUCGGGUCCUUGCGCUUGCAGGGCAGGCGGCGGAACCACUGAGCUAAACUUCUUCCCUUGACUGACGCUCUUCACAAACCAGGGCAGCCUGACUCAGUCUGUGCGUGGCUGUGACUGUGGCGGGAACUUCUGGGCUUUGUCAGGAAGUGCUCCCCUCGAGCCUGUACAGCCUUCUCCUUUUGGUGCCCGGUGCCCCUAUCCCUGGAAGUCCACUGUGCGGGAACAAGAGAGACCAAGCAGGCA